AUUUAUUACGAAGAUGUCAUUACC
rnacentral:siRNA from 1 species